UCCUGCAGUUCACUUCUUUGAAUGACUAUUUAAUCUCAUACAAGUGAAAGUGGCUUCAAGUAGAAAUUAUCUUGAUGUUGGCCUGGGCCAAAGGACUUUUCCAGUUCACUGCAGUCACCCUUGGAAACCGCAGCAUGCAUAAACAAAACUUUGGAGACUGGGAAUUCCCAGAUAAGAAAGGAAGACAAGCAAUAAGAGGCGGACUGCUCUAGGAAGGCCUUUCAAGGAGAAGUGCAACAGAAUGAGAAGCCAGCAACUCUUAUGAGCCUCAGUCUCUCUCUCUGUCUCAUCCUCCUCUUCCACACCAGCCAACAUUCCCAUAAAACCUAAAAAGGUAGGGUAGAAAUAGAGUUUGUUGUUGUUUUCGGGGAGAAUGAAACAGAAACCUUCCAUUCUUACUAUCUCAUUUCAUUCAAUCUUCUGUUAACUCAUCAUUAUUUUCAAUGUUUGGGAACUUAUAAAUAACCAUUCAUUCAUUCAUUCAUUCAUUCAUUUAUUUUGAGAUGAAGUCUUG